GCAUGAGUGGCUCAGUGGGUUAAGCAUCUGACUUCGGCUCAGGUCAUGAUCUAGCAGUUUGUGAGUUGAAGCCUCACAUCAGGCU
rnacentral:tRNA from 1 species